rnacentral:rRNA from 1 species
UACAGAGGGUGCAAACGUUGUUCGGAAUUACUGGGCGUAAAGCGUGUGUAGGCGGCCAUUCAAGUCGGAUGUGAAAGCCCCGGGCUCAACCCGGGAAGUGCACCCGAAACUGGAUGGCUUGAGUAUCGGAGAGGUUGGUGGAAUUCUCGGUGUAGAGGUGAAAUUCGUAGAUAUCGAGAGGAACACCGGUGGCGAAGGCGGCCAACUGGACGAAUACUGACGCUGAGACGCGAAAGCGUGGGGAGCAAACAGG